rnacentral:rRNA from 1 species
GACGAACGCUGGCGGCGUGCUUAACACAUGCAAGUCGAGCGGUAAGGCCCUUUCGGGGUACGACGAGCGGCGAACGGGUAGAGUAACACGUGGGUGACCUGCCCUCCAGCUCUGGGAGUAAGACCCGGGAAACCGUAGGGUCGUAAUACCGGAUAUGACUUCAUGACGCAUGUUGUGGAGUGGAAAGCCUUGUGCGGCUGAGGA